CCCGGCAAUCUCAAAAAAUUGCCCAGCCACAAUUUCUCCCAUCUAAGCCGUUUAUUUAAGUUCAUUUAAAAUAACGGCUAUUAAGGAGCCACCUCAUCGAUCCGCGUCAAACCAAAAGACAUCUUCUCCUUCCCCCAAACCUCAGUCUGCGUCCCUCUCUCAUUCUUCUCCUGAUUCUUUUAUUUUUUUUCUUACCAUUCUCCUUUCUCCUCUCUUUCUCCUGACACAUUCUCCCUUCUCCAGACAAAGUCGCUUGACCAUGGAGGUAAGGUUUUAGGCAGAAAAUUUGGGGAUGAUACUUUUGCCCGAAAAAAGUCGGAAGAAGUCGCCUGAUACCUGUACCUUUGCCCGGCGAUUUCCUCAACCUCCUAGUACCGCGAUUUUCUCGAGGCUCCGGAACCCCCAGUUCCAGAUCUGGACUCGCCUGGAGUGGUGGGGGUGGAGGACAUGAAGCGGCCACCGUCGGUUGCUCUCUAGACGGCUGGCAAAAAAUUGACUCCUAAAGUUUGCUGCGAGGGAGAAUGCGUCUGCGUCUCUGCAAGGUGGAAAUUGCAAGAAGUUGCUGGUUUAAUGCUGUUGCAGCCCUUUCAUGUUUGGUUUGUAUUCUGUUUAGCCAGAAGUAGUAAAUUAUUUAGGCCUAUGGAAUUCAACAGUUCAUUGAGUAAUUUAAUCAAACAACUUCUAUGUGGUGAAGGCCUACUCGAAGUGUAGUCUUAUUUUCAUCCAAAUUUAUUUUCAUUUUUACUA